GGAUUGAGUUCUUGAAUUGGUUGCGCUUAAUAGAUGGCAUGGUUUAGCGGGAAGGUUUCCUUGGGGAACUUCCCGGAUCUUGCUGGUGCGGUGAAUAAGCUAAGCGAGAGCGUCAAGAAUAUCGAGAAGAAUUUUGAUAGCGCUCUUGGGUUGGAGGAGAAGUCCGAGUCUAGCAGCGAAGGACUAUGGCCUGUUAUGUCCUUUAUGGGAAACAAAAGCGAGGGUACUGAAUCUUCAGCAAAAAUUGGAUCUGCUCAGAAAUCAUCUACAGUUGACGAAAAUGUGACACAAGAUUCUGCUACCGAA
rnacentral:misc_RNA from 1 species